CCUAGGGGAGGCAGCAGUGGGGAAUAUUGCACAAUGGGGGAAACCCUGAUGCAGCAACGCCGCGUGAGUGAUGACGGUCUUCGGAUUGUAAAGCUCUGUCUUUAGGGACGAUAAUGACGGUACCUAAGGAGGAAGCCACGGCUAACUACGUGCCAGCAGCCGCGGUAAUAGUAUU
rnacentral:rRNA from 1 species